UGGGGAAUUUUGGACAAUGGGCGAAAGCCUGAUCCAGCAAUGCCGCGUGUGUGAAGAAGGCCUUCGGGUUGUAAAGCACUUUUGUCCGGAAAGAAAUCCUUGGCUCUAAUACAGUCGGGGGAUGACGGUACCGGAAGAAUAAGCACCGGCUAACUACGUGCCAGCAGCCGCGGUAAUACGUAGGGUGCAAGCGUUAAUCGGAAUUACUGGGCGUAAAGCGUGCGCAGGCGGUUUGCUAAGACCGAUGUGAAAUCCCCGGGCUCAACCUGGGAACUGCAUUGGUGACUGGCAGGCUAGAGUAUGGCAGAGGGGGGUUAGAAUUCCACGUGUAGCAGUGAAAUGCGUAGAGAUGUGGAGGAAUACCGAUGGCGAAGGCAGCCCCCUGGGCCAAUACUGACGCUCAUGCACGAAAGCGUGGGGAGCAAAACAGGAUUAGAUACCCUGGUAGUCCACGCCCUAAAACGACGUCAACUAGUUGUUGGGGGAUUCAUUUCCUUAGUACGUAGCUAACGCGUGAAGUUGACCGCCUGGGGAGUACGGUCGCAAGAUUAAAACUCAAAUGAAUUGACGGGGUCAUAGCUGUUUCCU
rnacentral:rRNA from 1 species